GAAGUCUGGAGAUGAAGGGUCUGAAGA
rnacentral:piRNA from 1 species